rnacentral:rRNA from 1 species
AACGAACGCUGGCGGCAGGCUUAACACAUGCAAGUCGAGCGCCCCACAAGGGGAGCGGCAGACGGGUGAGUAACGCGUGGGAAUCUACCCAUCUCUACGGAAUAACGCAUGGAAACGUGUGCUAAUACCGGAUACGUCCUUCGGGCACAAGAUUUAUCGGAGAUGGAUGGGCCCGCGUUGGAUUAGCUAGUUGGGGGGGUAAAGGCCUACCAAGGCGACGAUCCAUAGCUGGUCUGAGAGGAUGAUCAGCCACACUGGGACUGAGACACGGCCCAGACUCCUACGGGAGGCAGCAGUGGGGAAUAUUGGACAAUGGGCGCAAGCCUGAUCCAGCCAUGCCGCGUGAGUGAUGAAGGCCCUAGGGUUGUAAAGCUCUUUCACCGGUGAAGAUAAUGACGGUAACCGGAGAAGAAGCCCCGGCUAACUUCGUGCCAGCCGCCGCCGUAAUAC